UUGUUGAAACAGGCCUGCUACCGCUGCUGGAUCGAGUACAGGCCUUCGUGCGGGUCGGGUCUGCCUCCUGGACUGGGUCGUGGCCUGCUGUCACUGCUGGGCUGCUCUGCUGCGCGUGGGCCUGGGCUGCUGCUUAGCUGCUGGAGUGGCCUGCUGUUGGCCUGCCCAAGAUGGCCUAUUGCUUGCUGGGCCGGUCUGCCACUGCUGCUGGUGUGGGUGGCCUGCUGCUGGCUUGUUGCUGGCUGCUGGCUGGGUUGGAUCCGGGUCAUCGGGUCGGGUUGGCCCGGCUGUUAUUUUUUUUCUUCUAUUUUCUUCUUUCUUCUUUCUUUUUUUCUUUUUUUCCUCAUUUCUUUUUCUUUCCUUUUUCUUUUUCUUUCUUUUCUUCUUCCUUUCAAACCCUAGCCACCGUCUUUUGCUUGGUGGCGCGACAGUGCCGGCGCUUCUCCCUUCUCCCUUCUCCCUUCUCCUCCUCUCUCUUCUUUCUCUCUUUUUCUUUUUCUUCUCUUCUUCCUCUCUUCCUUACUUCUUUACUGUUUGGGUUGCUGUUUUUUUUUGUUUUCUCUUUGCUUGUUUGUAUAGGUGCGACGGUGGUGGUGGUGUCACAACGGCGGUGCGACGACGGUGGUUGCGGGAGGAUGGUGGUGGAGGCUUUCGGCUUGCUGCUAUUUUUUUGUUUUUGAAUUUUUUCUGCUCUUUUUCUUUUGGUUGCCGAAAAACCUUUUCUUUUUGUUUCGGUUUCCCUUGGCUUUCUAGGUGGCGGUGCGGUGGUUGCGGUGGCGGGGUAGUGGCGCGACGGUGGCGAUGGCUUUUGGGCUGCUGUUUUUUGGAUUUUUUUGAGUUUUUCUCUGCUCUUUUUCUAUUUUUUUUUGGUUGCUAUCCGACCCCCUUCCUUCUCUUUUGAUUUUCUUUUUAAUCUCUUCAUUUUUUAUCCUCUUUCUUCUUGUUUUCAGAUGGCAUGGAGGUGAGGAGCAUGGCUGAUUGGCGGUGUCAGGCGUAGGGUGUGGUGCACGCCCAAAUGCUGGUUGGGGGGCAGUCUUGUCAUUCCCAGAAGGACUGAAUUGUAGAGUGUGCAAAGUUUUUAGGGCAAAAAUGUGAUUUUAGGAAAAUAUAGGGACAAAAUGUAAUUUCUAGAAAGUUUAGGGGCCUGACUGUAAUUUAUAAAAUAUUAGGGGUCAAGAUGUAAAUUUAGACAAAGUUAGGGGUCAAAAAAUAAUUUUUGAAAAGUUUGAGGGCCAAAAUGUAAUUUUUAUUUUUUGUAUUUUUAUUUUUUUCAAAAUUUUAUUAUGACUAUUUUAUUAAUAUUUAAAACAAAAAUUAAAAACGGACUAAAGUAAUUCCAAAAUUAAAUCCUAAUGGGCUCGAUCAUUGGGCCCAUACGAGACCGACCCGGCCUAAAAUUCAAACCGGGCAAAAUUCAGUGAUUACAGCUGCCCCUCUUUGCUCAUCGCUGUAAAACAGGGAUAGAGCAAAGACUUAAAAGCACUGAAUUUUGCUCGAUUGUCUAAUUUUUUAUAUUUUUUGAAAGCCUGAAAUUGAAAAAAAAAAGCUUGGUGUGCGAUCCGAAGUUCAACUCACUUUUCAGAUUAUAAGUUGACCUUUGAAAAAUAAAAAAUAAAAAUACCUCAGCUUGACUCGAGGCUCAACUCACCUCUAGGAUUAUGAGUUAAUAAUUUUUUUUUUUGAAAACAUAAAUUGAAAAUACCACAGCGUGACCUGAGGCUUAACUCACCUCUCGCAUUAUGAGUUGAUUUUUGAAAAACGAAAAAUUGAAAAAUACCUCGGCAUGUGACCCGAGGCUCAACUCACCUCUCGUAAUAUGAGUUGAUUUUUUUUGAAAAACAGAAAUUUAAAAUACCUUAGCGUGCGACCUGAGGCCCAACUCACCUCUCGCAAUAUGAGUUGAUUUUUGAAAAACAGAAAUUGAAAAUACCUCAGGAUGACCCGAGGCUCAACUCACCUCUCGUAUUGUGAGUUGAUUUUUGAAAAAAAGAAAAUUUAAAAGAAAUACCUCGGCGUGACCCGAGACUCAACUCACCUCUCGCAAUAUGAGUUGAUUUUUUUGAAAAACAGUAACUUAAAAAUACCUCAGCGUGACCCGAGGCUCAACUCACCUCUCGUAUUAUGAGUUGAUUUUUGAAAAACAAAAAUUAAAAAAUAUAAUUCUUGAAAGAAACAGGGUUUCAAAACAUCAGGUGAAACUAAAGCCUUCUUCUUCGUUGAUUCUGUGCAACUUUCUCUCAGUAUUCCCUGCUCUACUAAGAUACCUGUAUAUGUCAUGUAUGAUGUUAUUAUGAUAUGCACGUGUUUGACCUAAAUGCUUUUAUGCCUACAUAAUCAUGCCAUGAGCCCUGGGCUGUUUGUCUCAUGCCUCCUUUUCGUGAGGGACUGCAUUCAUUGCCUCAAUCAUUGACUUCUCUCUUCGGUUUUGUACUCAUCUUCAAGUUUGUCGGGUGACCCACAUGUCCAUAUUUCCCCUUCUUGCCCCUUUUGUUGAACUUUGUUCCUGCUUUGGGGUCCUUGUACUUAUCAAAUUCUCAUCCAGGUAAUGCUCAACAUUCAUUUUGUUUAGAGUAUGUCAUCUUACUAUUUAUCAUUUAAAUGAAUCAAACACAAGAUGCAUAAAUAAAAUGGCAAAGUAGGCAUGAAAGAAAUACCUCACAUCCAUUUCAUUUUCAAAACCAUCAAACAAAGAAAAUUGACAAGGAAAAAGUUCAAAGAAAGCAUCAUAUAGAAAGGAAAGUGAAUUCAAUGGCCACAAAUGCUCUAGAUAUCCAACGUAUGAACUUCUCCACGUUUCUUCAUCCUGGAUCCUUUCGAGCACGGCUUCUUGUGUAGAAGAUUUCGAGCUUCUGAGAAUGCUUCAAAUAUUGCGACUUUGUCAUUCAACUCUCCGUUCAAGUCACUUUGCUCCUUUAAGCUCGAGCCCACUUCAUUAGGACGCCCUUUCAGGUUUCCAUCCUAAUUCUUUUUGUUUAUCAAAACGCCCUUUUCAGGUUUUCAUCUUGAUUUUCUUUUUCUUUUCUUUUUUCUUUUUUUGUUUUUGUUUUUGUUUUUUUUUGUUCUUUUUGUUCUUUUUGUUCUUUUAUUUUUUUAUUUUUUUUUUGUUUUUUUAGGCAUAAUAUUUCUUUACAGCAUCUGAGUUCACUGGAUUAGGUAACUCUUUCCCGUCCAUCUCAGUGAGAAUCAGAGCCCCUCCUGAGAAUGCCCUCUUUACAACGUAUGGUCCUUCCCAAUUUGGUGACCAUUUUCCUCGAAAGUCCUUCUGUAUUGGGAGAAUCUUUCUCAGUACGAGCUCUCCUUCGCGAAAUUCUCUUGGCCGCACCUUUUUAUCAUGGGCCGUAAUCAUUCUCUUCUGGUACAUCUGUCCAUGACAAAUUACCUUCAAGCGUUUCCCUUCAAUAAGGUUUAGCUGAUCAUAUCGAGCUCGAACCCACUCUGAUUCCUCUAACCUUGUCUCCAUCAAGAUGCGCAGGGAUGGGAUCUCUACUUCGAUAGGCAGAACGGCUUCCAUUCCAUAGACUAGAGAAAAAGGAGUUGCCCCCGUAGACGUCCGUACCGAGGUGCGAUAUGCGUACAAAGCGAAUGGUAGCUUAUCGUGCCAGUCUUUAUAUGUCUCAGUCAUCUUCCCAAUAAUCCUCUUAAUGUUCUUAUUAGCGGCUUCUACUGCUCCGUUCAUCUUUGGGCAAUAGGGCGAAGAAUUAUGAUGUUUUAUCUGGAAUUGCUCACAUACUUCUUUCAUCAUCUUAUUGUUCAAAUUUAAAGCAUUAUCUGAAAUGAUUCUUUCAGGCAGACCAUAUCGGCAUAUAAUCUCCUUUUUUAAGAACCUACAGACUGUAGCCUUUGUCACAUUAGCAAACGAAGUGGCUUCUACCCAUUUUGUGAAGUAGUCUAUAACCACAAAGAUGAAUCGAUGCCCAUUGAAAGCUUUCGGGGAAAUUGGCCCUAUAACAUCCAUGCCCCACAUAGAAAAAGGCCACGGAGAAGUCAUGACAUGAAGGGGUGACGGAGCUGCAUGAAUUUUGUCGCCAUAAAUUUGACAUUUGUGGCACUUUCGUGCGUAACCAAUGCAAUCCCUUUCCAUCGUCAGCCAAUAAUAACCAAGUCUCAUAAUCUGCCUGGCCAUGGUGAAACCACUGGCAUGUGUUCCACAAAUUCCUUCAUGAACCUCUUCAAGUAUCUUUCUAGCUUCAACAGCGUCCACGCACCUCAGGAGCACUUGAUCUUUUCCCCUUUUGUAUAGAAUAUCCCCGUCAAGAACAAAUCCAAUCGCCAUUCUCCUGAUUGUUCUUUUGUCAUUCUCGUUUGCUUGCUCGGGGUACCUUUGAUUCUUGAUAUACUCCAAGAUAUCAUGGAACCAUGGUCGUCCAUCUGACUCCUCCUCAAUACUAAAGCAGUGUGCGGGGGUCUCAUAUAUACUCAUUUGGAUGGGCAUUAUCUCAUUUUCUCUGUUUGCCUUGAACAUCGAAGCCAAGGUGGCUAGGGCAUCAGCCAGUUGGUUCUCCUCUCGUGGAAAGUAGUUAAAAGUCACUUUAUAGAACUCCUUGAUCAGCUCUGCAACGAGAUCAUGAUAUUUGACUAAUUUUGGAUCUCUCACUUCCCAAUCUCCACGAAUUUGAUAAAUGACUAAUGCUGAGUCCCCGUGUACCUCUAAAAUUUUGAUUUUUCACUUGAUAGCUGCACGAAGUCCCAUGAUGCAAGCCUCAUAUUCCGCUAUAUUAUUUGUACAGAAGAAAUUCAAUCUGGCAGUAAGCGGGUAAUGGUCCCCUUCAGGUGACACUAAGACUACUCCUAUCCCAUGCCCCAAUACAUUUGAUGCACCAUCAAAGCUCAUCUUCCAUGACUUUCCUUUUGAUGACUCGCCCUCUUUUUCUGAAAUACACAUCAAAUCUUCAUCUGGGAACUCAAAUCUCAAAGGCUCGUAUUCCUCCAUUGUUCGACUUGCCAAGAAGUCAGCUAUUGCGCUUCCUUUUAUCGACUUUUGGCUCACAUAUACAAUGUCAUACUCAGUCAAUAGGAUUUGCCAUCGGGCCUUUCUCCCUGAGAGUGCAGGUGACUUCAUCAUGUACUUUAUUGGGUCCAGUUUUGAAAUUAACCAUGUCGUGUGAUACAGCAUGUAUUUUCUGAGCCUUCGAACUGUCCAAAUCAAUGCACAACAAAACUUCUCAAUUGACAGGUACUUUGCCUCAUAUUCUGUGAACUUCUUGCUGAGGUAGUAAAUUGCCUUCUCUCUUUUCCCUGACUCAUCAUGUUGUCCCAGUACGCAACCCAUUGAGUUCUCAAACACGGUCAGGUACAAUAUUAAGGGUUUUCCAGGGGUCGGCGGUACUAGCACAGGAGAAUUAGAUAGAUACUGUUUUAUCUUGUCGAAGGCCACUUGGCACUCCUCGUUCCAUUCUCCCGGAUUACGUUUUCAAAGGAGUCGAAAAAUUGGGUCACACUGAUUGGUAAGUUGAGCAAUGAAUCGAGCAAUGUAAUUCAACCUUCCUAAAAAACCUCUGACUUCCUUUUGUGUACGCGGGGGAGGCAAUUCUUGUAUAGCUUUUAUCUUAUCUGGAUCAACCUCGAUACCUCUUUCACUAACAAUGAAACCUAGCAGUUUUCCUGAGGUAGCCCCAAAUGUACAUUUGGCCGGGUUAAGCUUCAACUGAAACUUUCUUAAUCUUUCAAACAACUUCCUAAGACUCCCAACAUGCUCUCUUUCUUCCCGAGAUUUGGCAAUCAUAUCAUCGACAUAAACUUCUAUUUCUUUGUGCAUCAUAUCAUGGAAUAACGUCACCAUGGCUCUCUGAUAUGUUGCCCCAGCAUUCUUUAAUCCGAACGGCAUUACCUUGUAGCAGAAGGUUCCCCACAUUGUUAUGAAUGUAGUUUUCUCCAUAUCUUCGGGAGCCAUCUUUAUCUGAUUAUAUCCUGAGAAACCAUCCAUGAAAGAAAACAGAGAAUGCUUUGCCGUAUUAUCCACCAAAGUGUCGAUGUGCGGUAAAGGAAAGUUAUCUUUAGGGCUUGCUUAAUUCAGAUCAUGAUAAUCCACGCACAUUCGCACCUUGCCAUCUUUCUUCGGCACUGGGACUAUAUUAGCUACCCAUUCUGGAUACUUUGAGACUUGUAGGAAGCCAGCGUCAAAUUGUUUCUUGACUUCUUCUUUUAUCUUUAACAGCAUUUCGGGUCUCAUCCUUCUUAAUUUCUGCUGAACGGGCUUGCAUUCUGGUUUCAGUGAGAGCUUGUGGACCACAAUAUCCGUGUUUAAUCCUGGCAUAUCUUGAUAAGACCAGGCAAACACAUCCUUGUAUUCAUGGAGCAAGGCGAUCAAAUCUUGCCUUGUGUUUUUUGAAAUCGAAGUCCCAAUCUUCACUUCUUGUUUCUCUUCUUCAUUCCCCAAGUUCACUACCUCAACAGAUUAUUGAUGGGGUAGGAUUUGUUUCUCUUCUUGUUCCACCAUUCUCAGUAAGUCAGGAGAUGAGACACAAUCUUCAACAUUUUCGUCAGCUUCGAAUUCUCCUAAACAAAUAACCUUCUCAAAAUUGAUUUCAGGAUUCAUAACGGGAUUAUUCAUGCCAUUGAUAUCUGAACACCUGAAAGGUGAAUGGAAAAAGGAUAUAGAAGAGUAUUGAGGUAUUGUAAUCAACACACAAUGAUAUGAGAUGAUAUGAGACAUAUGCCAGAAAAGGAUAUGAACAGAAGGAGUAGUCGCAAAGUUAAUGAAAAGAAUAUGACAAUAUAAAACAAAAUGCAUCUUCAUUAAUGUUCAUUGAAAUGAUAAAGAGCAAACAUAAGCUCUUACAAAAGGAACCCUACUGUUUAAGGACACACAAAAUGAAGGGUUAACAUUGAGCAUUACUCUGAAGGGGACUUAAAAACUACAAGGAGGUCCUCAGCAGUCCAGUUGUUCAAAACAUAUCCUGGAGGACAAUGGCGUAUCAUUGAAGCAUUCUUAAUUUCAUCAUUCUCAUUGUCAAUAGCAUUUAGGCUGAGAUUCUGAAGACCCUUUUCAAUCAAUAAUGUGGCUUGCAAAUUGUUCUGCCCUGGGUACAUCACUCCUGCUGAUGUAAAUGUUCUCGACAAAGGAGGAUACGCCAACGGCCCCCAUUCUAAUUCCUGGCCCGAAGCUCUUGCGAUUCUUCUUUCUCGAUUUUUCUGAAAUUGUUUUUAUCUUUGAUGUACAUCUGGCUUGAACCCCAAACUGUAUCGACCCUUAUGGUGCGUUGGUUUCAAAGCUCUAACCAUCCUUUGUUGAUAUUUUCCCAAACCUUUCCUCGCUCGAGCUCCUUUUCCCACAGUCAGCUUAAGUCCCAUCUUGGUAUUCCUCGACAGUUUGGGAAUGGGGAUCUUAUUCCCUUCAGUAACAAAUGCAGCAUUGAUAAAUUUCAAGAAGCGAAAAGAACAUUCUACAGCAUCUUCGCUUAUUUCGAUGUAGGGUGCAUCAGUAGAGAUAGAUGCGACGAUGUCUUCCUCGCCACCAACAGUAAUCAAACGACUAUCCAUGAUGAACUUUACUUUCUGAUGGAGAGAUGAAGGAACUGCCCCAGCAGAAUGGAUCCAAGGUCUUCCUAACAGGCAAUUGUAUGAAGGUGUGAUGUCCAUGACCUGAAACUCGAUAUCGUAUGCACAUGGCCCCACUUUUAAAGGAAUUUCGAUAUUUCCCAUGACCUCUCGCCGUGUCCCAUCAAAUGCCCUUACUAUAGAAUGACAAGGCCUCAGAUAGGACAUAUCAACCGGCAUCCUAGAAAGCGUGGCCAAAGGCAUAACAUUGAGUGCAGAUCCAUUGUCGAUGAGCACAUUUGGUAAUAUGUAACCUUUGCAAUUGGUUGUGAUGUGCAAUGCUUUUAUGGAGCCCCUUCCAUUUGGCGGUAUUUCGUCGUCACUAAAGGAGAUGAAAUUAUCUGCAUUUAGAUUAUUUGCCCACCUAUCAAGCUUUUCCACAGAUACAUUGUUCGCCACAUAAGCUUGAUUUAACACUUUUAACAAGGCAUUCCGAUGUGGCUCUGAAUUCAACAAUAGAGACAGUACCGAGAUACGGGCUGGCUGCUUGUUUAAUUGUUCUACAAUGCUAUAUUCACUGUGCUUAAUGAACUUUAAGAACUCACAUGCUUCCUCCUCAUUCACAGCCUUUUUAACUUCUUCCUCGGGUGGUAUUUCAACAUCAUCCUCAGCCUCAUACAUUGGUGCUUUUCUUUUUUGGCUCGGACCAGCAACCUUCUUCUUUGGCUCAACCGUCUCGGGAGAAUAACAUCUUUCGCUACGAGUAAAAUGUCCUACUCCGCUAACACCUUCACUCACAACCUUGGACUUUUCACCCUCAGGUACAAUGAUAUUGACAUCAUAAUUCUAAGGCACCGCCUUGUUGUCCUUAUAAGGGAAAGGAGCAGGUACUUCAAUUAUCAAACUUGGUUUAACUUCUCGACUAACUUCUUCCUUCUUUGUCCCGUAAUAAAUCACCAAAGGUCUAUCGACGCUAUAAAGGGAAGCCAUUGAUUGAUUAUUAGAGGCACAUAUUUCUCCUUCUUCGGCCCCCUCCACCCUAUCAAAGACCUUGACCUCUUUGUUAUCCAUCAUGUCUUGAAGUAAUUUCCUAAAUUCCUUACAAGAUUGGAUGUCAUGCCCUUGGACGCCAUGAAAAUCACAGAAACUCUGGUCUUUUGUACUUUCUUCUUUAAGAAUCUUACUAGACGGACAGAGCAAGCCAUUUUCAAUCAUCAUCUCCCAUACCUUCCGUAAAGGUGUCUUUACUUCGGUAACACAACCUUUGGCUUGACAAUUGUCUUCAUUUGUCACCGCAUUUACAUUCCCGUCAGUAUGGUUAGGAAGAGGAUUUCCUGUCACAUUGCUAACAUCGUCGAACCGUAGAACACCGGCAUCAAUAAGACCUUAAACCCUCCUUUUAAAAGCAAGACAGUUUUCUGUAGAAUGUCCCUGAUUCCCAGCGUGAUACAUGCAAUUAGCGUUAGGAUCAUACCACUUCGGGUAUGGAGGCUUCAGGGGUGCCAUGUAAUGUGGGGAUAUUAAUUGUUUUUCCAACAGCUUUGGGUAUAAUUCUCCAUAUGAUACAGGAAUUAGAGUAAACUGAGGUCUUUCAAGAUUGGGUCUUGCCGGUCUUUGUUCAUUUUUGGGUUGGCUUUGUACAGGUAUGGUGUUUGGCGGGAACACGGUGAAUGGUCUUUGGUUAUUCACAGCAUAAACGGGGUAAGAUAGGGGUGCUUGAUAGUAAGGACUUUGAGGAGGAAAGUAGAAGUUUGAAGGUGGGCGGUAAUGAGGUCGUGGUUGGGUGAGGUACGGAUUAGGGGUACAUUGGCUUUCAGUCCCAACCAUAUGGGCCUCUGCCUCCUUUUUCUUUGCGGGUACUGUCCUCUUCGAACUCUCAGGACCUUCCAUUCUCCCACUCUUGACGGCGUUUUCGAUAAGUUCCCCGGAUAUUACAAUAUCUGCAAAGUCCUUUGUGGCACUUCCCACCAACUUAUCGUAAAAUGGCGCUUUUAGAGUGUUGAUGAAGAGGACCGUUAUCUCUGUCUUAGUUAACGGAGGCUCCACUUGAGCCGAGAUAUCCCUCCAUCUUUACGCAUAUUACCGAAAAGUCUCUGUCGGCUUCUUUUCCAUCAUUUGUAAGGUUAGUCGAUCAGGCACCAUAUCUGUUACAUGCCUAUAUUGCUCACAGAAUGCUGAAGCCAAAUCCUUCCAUGAUCGGAUUCUCUCUCUACUGAGUUGAUUAUACCAUCGAAGGGUUGAGCCAAUCAAACUAUCUUGAAAGUAAUGCACCAACAAUUUAUCAUCGUUUACAUAACCAGUCAUCUUUCGGCAAAACAUGAUCAGAUGCGCCUUUGGACAUCUUGUUCCGUCAAAUUUCUCAAAAUCAGGUGCCUUAAAUUUUGGUGGUAGGACCAAAUCAGGUACCAAACUGAGCUCUUUGGCACUCAAAGCAGAGAAAACUUCAGCGCCUUCUACUGCCUUGAUCCUCUAUUCCAGGACUCUAUACUUAUCCUGAGCGUUAUUGUCAUCAAUUCUCAGCCUUGCUACUUCUACAGGAUCAUCUAGGUCUGGAACAAUUGGAUCUGAAGGAUUAGCCCCAGGGUUCGAUACAAACAUUCCUUGUCCUAAAUGAGCAGAUGGAGCAGGAUGUUGUUCCAGGCCUGUAGGUUCCCUUUGGGGGUAUCCUCUUUGCAUUGCGUGGACAUGAGGUGGAGUAAAUCCCGGGGGAUAAAGUGGGUCUUGAUUAGCUCUUGACUGAGGCGGUUCUACGACAUUAGGGCUCUGUAUAGGUCCCUUUCCUUUGACCAAAGCCGUCAUCAUUUCUAUCAUUUUAGCCAUUUGAUCCCUUUGCUCGAGCAAUUCUUCUCGAGAUCUCACCAUCAAAUCUCUUGCCUCUUGCUGCGACUUGGCCAGUUGCUCCUGCAACUCUCUUUGGGUUCUUUCCAUCCUUUCCAUCCUUUCAUUGAGUUCAGCAUCCAUAGCUCUAGCUCUUAAGCGCGUCCUAUAAGAGUGACGUGAUUCCAGACUCGUAGUGUAGUAACUGUGGAUUAGAUGGUUUUACCCUUAGCGAAUGAUUAAGGUGAUAUGAGAAUACAAUGAAUAAAUGAAUGAGUAACUAAUGAAUGUUAAUCAUGCGUAAAUAUGCAAAAAAGGGUGUUGAUUCCAAAAUGGCCCCAUACUUGGGCGUUUCAUUUAUCAAAAGAGUCCGUUACAAAAAGUUUUGCCAUCCUAGUUCAACAAUUACACGAAUUUCCUAGCCACAUCGCCUUGCUUCUUCAUACGUUCCAAGAACUCUGAUAUGCUUGAUCUUUGGCUAGGAGGGUAUUGGCAACUGAGAACUUCCGCUUCAUCUGAUAAUUGUACUAUUUGUGCAGCCGCCUUACGAAUUUCAUUGAUCAACCUACCGAGAUGCAUAUCCUUUUCUUGGAGGGCUCUUUCAUAAGCACGAAUGUCUCUGUCAUGCUGAUCAUUCUUCUCUUCUAAAGCUCUCAAGAGGUCAUCCAGAUGUUGCUGAUGAGCUUGCAGUGUACUCUCUAGACUUCAGAUUUUUCCUUUUAGCCCUUGAUGCUCAGACUGACUAGCCGUUAGUUCUGCAGUCACAGUUUCGUAUUCAACGUUCUUCUUCCUCAACUCUAUCAUAGCACAUGCAGCUCUUUCCUCUUCUUUCUUUGCUUUGGCUUUCCAGAAUUCCAUCCCACCUUUGAUAUUACUUAGUUCCUCUUUCCAUUCUGCUGAUGCUUUGCCCAAUCCACUAUUUCUUAUAGUGCCCCUUAAUUUCUUGUUUUCCAAAUGAAGGUCCCUUAAAUUCUUUCUCGUAACUUGAACUUCUUUUUGGACUUUUUCGGCUCUGGAUUUUUCAAUUUCGACAUCAAUCUUCAGCUGGUAGUUCUCCUCCUGAAGAGAUUAAUAUCUCGCAACAUUUUGGCCUUUUCACGUUCAAAUUCAUGUCUUGCAAUUUCUAGCUCGGAUGGGGUUUUCUCUGAGAACGGAUUCUGGCAAGCUUCAUUAAUUGGUGGGGUUACUUGACUCUUCACUCGUUGUUGCCUCCAUAGGUCAUAGUCUACAGUGAUAGUAUCAGCAUAUAGAGCCAAUUCCAUUAGGUAGAUUCGCCUCCAAGAAUUCGCAGUAUCUCAAACCUUUUUCAUGUAACCCUCACCCAUAAAGGCAAACUCCGAUUGUGCCAAUCCAUCGGUAACUGGUACAAACUGUCGCGAAGCGAACUGUCUUUAAACCAACAAUGGAGCAUAUCCAACUCCUCCCCAUAAUCCUAAUAAAGGUAUCCAGUCUUGGUUUCCACACUUGUAUAACAAGACAGAGGGACGAAUCCAAGGUGCUCUCCAAGUUAUAUCUUCGACACGGAGGUUCUGAAAGACCGAGACCCAGUGUUGUUCAGUGACAUCUUUCGGCCAAUCUUUUCCAAGGUGUGCUUCCAACGGGGCGAAUGUCUUUGAAAACAUGUGGAAAGGCGUACGCUCCACCCUCCAAAAAUGGCUAAAGAUCCAAACAUUCAGUAACUGAGCGCAUUCGAUAAAACGUCCUUCCCCUUUUCUCCUACAAGCAUUUAGAGAUCUAAAAGUCUCAGCCAAGAUGGCUGGGACCGGGUUAACUCUUUGCCUCAACUUUUCGAAGAAAUCCACAACCGCAACUUCAAUAUGCCCAAGAACCUUCGGGAAGACGACCAGUCCGUAAACAGCCAAGGCAAACAAAUCUACUCUUUUUAACACAUCUGGAUGAUUCUGAACUAACUCCCGCAGAGAAAACCACGGGACACAACUGACUUCAUUCUUCUUCUUUAUCUGUUUUUCAGCCCAUGUAUCAGUCAUUCCCGUCAACUUCAUUAGCUUUUUCUUGAAGGUCAUUGGUUUAGGCUCCUUCACAUAUAUCUUGUUGAGUUGCACAUUAUCGAUGCGAAGCAAAGCGGCAUACUCUUCUAUGGUCGGAGUCAUAUCUUCCUGAUUGAAAGUGAAACACUGAUAGGCUGGGUCCCAGAAUCGAACCAUGGCUUGGAUCAACUGCUCGUUCACAUCGAUUGCUAUCAAGUGAGCUAUAUCCCCAUACUUUUCAGUGGAGAUGCUUCUAGUAUCUGAGUCCCACUGCUUCCAAAUCCUAGUCAAGUCUUCGAGAUCAUUUUGACGAGCAUUCAAAGUCACACGCUCGGGAAGAUCAGAGGUGUAUCCUUCCUUCAAACUGUCCCCUUUCACUUUUUGAGUUCUCAAAGACCAAUCUCGGACUACAGCAUUUUUCUCGGUUACUCGUGUAAUUGACUCCUCCAUCAGAAACCCGUUUUUGGCAACCAAUAUUUAACCAACACCUUCCUAAUGAGAUGUCUACGAUGCAUGAUGGAAAAUAAGAUGAAAAACAAAUAACCUUGGUUAGAGAUCACAACAGAUAUAAACAAAAGAAAAAUGAAAAAUAAAGACUAUGGAAAAUUUAACAAAUUAAGCUAUUCAAUCAUGCAAUUUGGUGGAACAGACCCACAUUUUUUUUUGCCCCAACAUGCUUUACAAGAAACCUACCCCACAUACCAUCAGACCAUCUAUCCGACCCAAUUUAUUGAAUAGACUCAAUUUAUCUGCAAAUAAGUGUAAAUGUAAAAGAAAUAAAAGGUAAGAGGCGUUUCUCCCGUGCACUUAUUUUGGUAACUAUCAAACGGACAGAGGUUCUGUAUGGCUCUACUCGGGUGGCCUAUACGGUUCACUAUAUGUAGUUUCGGUUUUAGAAAGGUACUCGAAUUGUCCAUACUAUCACCUACUAAGGUUAGUACAGAGCUUCGGUUAUCGCCCGUCAGGGCUCGCGAGCUCAAUUCGAGGGAUUACAUUUACUUAUGCCUAUGCGGAGGGACAAGUUAACUCACGAAAGCAUAAGUCAUAUGUAACCCGAAAGUAAUUACUAGCCUGUGCGGAGGGACGAGUUAACUCACGAAGGCGUAGCGUUUACUUCCACUUAAACGGACAGAGCCCGGGUAGAGAGCUCAUGUUAUGCAAAAAAUGCAAGUGCACUGUGUGUGGAGAGAAACUCACAAACCUUUUUAUUUUUACUUUUACUAAAAAAAACAAACUAAAACCAUAAAACUUAAAGCUGAAAAAAACACGAAAAUAAAAAAGGUUAGAAAAAUAUUAAUUUCAAAACUGAAUACGGAUGCAUGAUUUUUUUCAAAACAAAAUUCAAGGAUCACGAUUAAAAAUUAAUUUGAACAAGAAAAUUUGAAAAUUUUGACAACACACGUUUAACAUCAGACUCGACUCUCAAAAAAAACUCCCCAGCGGAAUCGCCAGCUGGAGCGACCUAAAAAUUUCUGGGCACGGGCGCUAGUCGAAGUAAUUAUUUAAGGUUUGAAAACAGUGUCUCGAUUUUAUUCGAAAAAGGGAGUCGCCACCGAUCUUUUUUUUUAGGUGUGAUCGGACACCUACAAAAUUCUCUUUUUAGAAGAAAAAUUUAUUUUUAAGCUUUUCUAAAAAGAGGUAAUUUUAGGUCCACGUAAAAAUCAAGAGAAAAUUAGGGUUCUGGAGUCGGUUACGCGCGAGGAAGGUAUUAGCACCCUCGCGACGCCCAAAAUUGGUAUCUCGUUAAAUGCAUGUUGUCUUAACUUUCAAAAAUACGAGUUCCAUUUAAUAUUUAGUCAUGAUCCGAUUGAAACACGAGAAUUUUGAAACACAACAACCCCUUUUUUUUUUUUGAAAACACGAAAUUUUUUUAAAACGCAAGAAUUUUAGAAACACAAAAAUUUUCUUUAAAAAAACACGAAAAUUUUGAAACAUGAGAAUUUUUUCAAAACACAAAUUUUCUUUUUGAAACACGAAAAUUUUGAAAACACAAAAAAUUUGAUAAAUUACGAAACAUGAGAUUUUUUUGAAACACGGAAAUUUAUGAAACACGGUCAAUUUUUGAAAACACAAAAAUUUUUGAAAGACGGGUUUUUUUUUUGAAAACACGAAAAUUUAUAAAACACGGAAAUUUUUUCUGAAAACAAGAAAAUUUUCGAAAAACGAGAAUUUUUGAAAACACAAGAAAUUUUUGAAAACAUGAAAUUUUUUGUUAAACUAGAAUUUUGAAAACACGAAGAUUUUUGAAACAUGAGGAUUUUUGAAAACACGAAGCUUUUUGAAACAUGAGAAUUUUUUGAGAACAUGAAAACAUGAAAAUUUGUCAAACACGGGAAUUUUUUGAAAACACGAUAACAUCAAAGAGUAUUCAAGAGAGUUUUUUGAAACACGGAAUUUUUUUUUGGAAAAAAGAAACACGAAUAUAUUUUUUUGAAACACAGGAAAUUUUUUGAAAAAAAGAAACACGAAUAUAUUUUUUUGAAACACGGGAAAUUUUAUUAUUAUUAUUUUGAAACACGAGAAAUUUUGAAGACAUGAAAAUUUUUGAAACACAAUUUUUUUAAUAAUACCAUAUUUAAUACGAAUCGAUGAUAUUCACCCCGAUAUGGCGAUGAAAUCGUCGUAUUAGUGUCAAAACAAAUCAAAUUAAUAUUUAAUCGGGAUUCUAAUAAAACACGAGGAUUUUUAUUAAAACACGAGGAAUUUUGAAUAUUUUCUAUUUUUAGAAGGGCGUCCCGUAUUUAACACGAGCCAUCAAUAUUCACCCAACAUAGAGAUGAAUUCAACGGCUUGAUGCUAAAUCGGUUCGUUGCCUUAUGCAUUAAAAUAUUUUUCUAUAAAAAAAUGCAAAUAAAAUUACAUAUAAUAAUAUUUCUAAACUAUUAAAAAACUAAUUUAAUUGUAAUGGGGAAAUAUUUAAAUAAAUGGACUUAAUUAGAGUGGGUUUAAAAAAUUACCAAAAGCCCAAAGUUAUGGGCUUGAAUUUUGGGCCUCCCUUUUUCUUUUUUUUUCUCUUUCUUUCCUGGGCUUUGGGCUGCCGGACUGGGCCGAGUCUGCUGGCCCGCUGGUUGCUGGAACAGGCUUGCUACCGCUGCUGGAUCGGGUACAGGCCUUCGUGCGGGUCGGGUCUACCUCCUGGACUGGGUCGUGGCCUGCUGUCACUGUUGGGCUGCUCUGCUGCGCGUGGGCCUGGGCUGCUGCUUAGCUGCUGGAGUGGCCUGCUGUUGGCCUGCCCAAGAUGGCCUAUUGCUUGCUGGGCCGGUCUGCCACUACUGCUGGUGUGGGUGGCCUGCUGCUGGCUUGUUGCUGGCUGCUGGCUGGGUCAGAUCCGGGUCGUCGGGUCGGGUUGGCCCGGCUGUUAUUUUUUUCUUCUAUUUUCUUCUUUCUUCUUUCUUCUUUUCUUUUUUCCUCCUUUUUUUUCUUUCCUUUUUCUUUUUCUUUCUUUUCUUCUUCCUUUCAAACCCUAGCCGCCGUCUUUUGCUUGGUGGCGCGACGGUGCCGGCGCUUCUCCCUUCUCCCUUCUCCUACUCUCUCUUCUUUCUCUCCUUUUCUUUUUCUUCUCUUCUUCCUCUCUUCCUUACUUCUUUACUGUUUGGGUUGCUGUUUUUUUUUGUUUUCUCUUUGCUUGUUUGUAUAGGUGCGACGGUGGUGGUGGUGUCACAACGGCGGUACGACGACGGUGGUUGCGGGAGGAUGGUGGUGGAGGCUUUCAGCUUGCUGCUAUUUUUUUAUUUUUGAAUUUUCUCUGCUCUUUUUCUUUUGGUUGCCGAAAAACCUUUUCUUUUUGUUUCGGUUUCCCUUGGCUUUCUAGGUGGCGGUGCGGUGGUUGCGGUGGCGGGGUAGUGGCACGACGGUGGCGAUGGCUUUUGGGCUGCUGUUGUUUGGAUUUUUUUGAGUUUUUCUCUACUCUUUUUUUAUUUUUUUUUGGUUGCUAUCCGACCCCCUUCCCUCUCUUUUGAUUUUCUUUUUAAUCUCUUCAUUUUUUUGUCCUCUUUCUUCUUGUUUUCAGAUGGCAUGGAGGUGGGGAGCAUGGCUGAUUGGCGGUGUCAGGCGUAGGGUGCGGUGCACGCCCGGAUGCUGGUUGGGGAGCAGUCUUGUCAUGCCCAGAAGGACUGAAUUGUAGAGUGUGCAAAGUUUUUGGGGCAAAAAUGUGAUUUUAGGAAAAUAUAGGGCCAAAAUGUAAUUUCUAGAAAGUUUAGGGGCCAACUAUAAUUUACAAAAUAUUAGGGGUCAAGAUGUAAAUUUAGAAAAAGUUGGGGGUCAAAAAAUAAUUUUUGAAAAGUUUGGAGGCCAAAAUGUAAUUUUUAUUUUUUGUAUUUUUUUUAUUUUUAUUUUUUUUUCAAAAUUUUAUUAUGACUAUUUUAUUAAUAUUUAAAACAAAAAUUAAAAACGGACUAAAGCAAUUCCAAAAUUAAAUCCUAAUGGGCUCGAUCAGUGGGCCCAUACGAGACCGACCCGGCC
rnacentral:lncRNA from 1 species